UGGGCUAUCGCCAAGCGGCAAGGCACAGCACUUUGACUGCUGCAUUUCGUUGGUUCGAAUCCAACUAGCCCAG
rnacentral:tRNA from 1 species